AACACUUGGAGCCCCUGUGAGUGGUUCUGUGUGUUGGGGUGGAGGAGGGUGCGUCCGAGAGGAGGAAGGAUGAUGAGGCGGCUAGCCUGCGCCCCACCUCUGAUUGUGUAAGCGCCUUUCUCGGGGUUGACCCCUACCCUUUGGAUUUUGAAUUUGGGGAUGAGGAAAGACGGACGGAAACUCGAUGCCCAAGUGAAUGGUGGUUCACACUGAUUGGCAGGGAAAGUGCAAACAAAGAGGUGCAUCUCCGGGAAACGAUGAUUUUGGAGAUCCCCUGCCCACCACCGGACUUGUGCGCGGUGCGGAGGGGGCCAGGGCUGGCAUCUCCGGAGAAAGUUUCCAGCCAGGCAGUGGGAGGAGACGCUCCGGGUAGAGUUGCGAGGAACUGGGGACCCAGCAGCCCCAGCUCGCCUCGGAGGUUCCCGAGCCGGGCGGGAGAUGCGGGGAAAGGGAGGGGGCUGGGAGGGAGGGGAGGGAGAGAGGAAGAAGGGGUGAGAGGGAGAAACCUGCCGCCGCUCGCCGCCUCUUUGUCUGCUCCGGGACUUGGAACAAAAGGGGGAAUUCUGAUGAACUCUCUUUCCUCCCCUCUCCCCCGGACGCCGGGGUAUCUCUCACAACUUUGCCGCCGCGACUUUCUCUGCUGUCAGGCCAGGAAAAAGUGUCCGAGCGCCUCGCAGACUGCAGCGGGGGAAAGGUCUCUUAAAAGUGCGACCAAGUGGGGAAGAAGCCAACAACAUGGAAGUACCAAGACAAGGUCAAAUCAUUCCUGAAUGGAGUCAUCACACCUCUUUACGUGGAGUUACUUAAAAGUUAACGUUGGCAUUUUUGAUGAUACCUUUUCUAUAUGGAUUACAAUUUGAUUGCUGGGAAUUCUCCACCUUGAAGAAGCACCCUCAGGUGACUCCAGAUGUGUUAACACCCAGUAUAUUCAGGUGUGAAUCAUGGCAGUGCAGUGAAGGACGGUGAUUUACCGCUUUUGAGGGCAUGCAUGUAUAUGAUUAAGGGAUGGAGGUGAAGGACUCCAAGAUUUACUUCCUUCCCUUUCCAGCAGAGUUACCUGAGAGGAGUGAGUAAUGGGAUCAUUGGUAACACCACCGGCCCCUUUUCAAGAGACCAGUAAUCAAAACAGGAACACCAAACUGAGAAGAUUUCAGCUGGGAGAAUACAACUUUUGAUACUUUCUGGAUCUACCUCUUAGCACACAGGAGAGUCUUCAGAGUUUUCCUGUUUUAUUUUUUCAUGGAGAUUUUCGUUAAAAAGAUACUUCGGGUUUGACGUGACUAUCUUGGUGGUGGCAGUAGACUUCUCAUAUUAGAGAUAUGAUAAAAUGGUGAAAAGUUCCAAGCUCGUCCUCCUCUCCCAUCUAUGCCAGAUAUCACUGGAUGGAACCGAGCAGGAGAGGAGGAAAGUGGCAGAUACUAUGUGACGGCUGAGAAGCAGUGUUGGUAAAAUCUGCUGGUGGAGUCACUCCAUUAUUCUUACCCAUGGAGAGGUAGAUCUUGAUUUGAAAGUUUCUGAGAAAAUCUUCAGCUCAGACUUGAGGUCAACUUUACCAACUGAAGAAGAGUCACCAAGGAUGCUUGUGCUCAGGGGGACCACCAUGUGAAGAGGCAGUAGGAGGGAGGCGGUCUACAGGACAAGGAGAGAGAGACUUCAGGAGAAACUCACCCUGCUGGCACUGUGAUCUUGGACUUCCAGCCUCCAGAGCUGUGAGACAAUCAGUUUCUCUUGCUUAAGCCCUGCAGUCCAUGGUCUUUUGUUACGGCAGCCUUAGCAGACUAAUACAGUAUUCAUAUUUUAAAAGAAGUUCUUCAUCUUUUUAAUGGAUAGAAACAUUUUUAUAUCUAUUCACUAUAAGUCAAUUGCAAAUGAAUGAUUAAUAGAUAAUGUCAUACUGAGCCCGAAUCUUGUUCUUCUGUCAGAGUGUGUUAAUGACAUUUUCAGGACCCCAGUUUUAAUGUUUAAACUCUGGGAGCGCCUAUGUGUAAAUAUUUAAAAUGGGACAGAGAGCACUAUCACUUGCAGGAUUUUACACCUCAUAGUUGGGAGGUUAAAUGAGAAAGACCUUGGUAAAGUCCUGACAUGUGCCUGGCAUUCUAUGUGUUAGCUGUAAUUAUUGCUAGUAGUGUUUCUUGUGCUUAUUUCAUUGCAAUUUAGUUUUCUUAAGAGGUGUAGGCUCUAAAAUGAAUUUCACAUGGUAGACCUUGGGAAAAAGGUGGCGAGUGAAAUUUGUGGAGACUGUAGCUGUUUCCCACUGGCCUGAGGUUAAACAGUUGAGAGUGAGAUUGUGAGCAUCCUCUUAGGAGCAGACACAUCUCUGUUCUUCCUCCAGCCCCAGCACGGUUGUCUGCCUUGUGGGAUUGGGCAGCAGCAGCAGAUAAUGAGAGAUGAAUUUGUCAUUCCAGGGCUACUUUUGCUCUUAGGAUCACAUCUGUGCUUUUUCCAGAAGGCAGAAAAGAAAGAGAAGGGAGGGUUUGGUGGUCUUGAGCUUUGCAGACUUGACUUUAUGGACCUAAAUGGCACACAGGCUAUGCGUGUUGUGUGUGUGCAUGUGCGUGUGCCUACAUAUAUGUACGGGUAUACUAACAUCAGGCAAACGCUAAUUAUUUGCUGCGAGAAUGUCAUUAAUAGCAUGUGGCUGUUGAAUGAGGGAUGAGAAGUGUGCCUGAGCACGCUGUUAUUAUUAAGCAAUGGGAAUUAAGCAUUUUCUUUCAAAAUUCUUUGUCCCUAAAUCAAUCUCAUUCUGCUUCUGCUUCCCCUUUCCUUCCUUCUCAAUUAGCUUUCUCGAUCUCCCUCUUUAUCUCUUUUCUCUCUCUCUCCAGUCCACCAUAGUGCCUGGAAUUAUGCAGUUAGAAAUUUGAUCUUUGAAGACACUGUGGCCUUUUCCAAGAAUUUCCUUUUAAAUGAGGAAUAUUCUGGGAAGUUAGGCCAUGGCUCCCUGUGAAGGGUUGAUGCAUUCGAUCACUUUGGCAUAUGGUAGCUUGGACUUAGUAGAGGAGGGAGGAGUGUUUUUGGAGAAAUAUCUGUUAUUGGGGCCCUGUAGUCCUCAUUCUAGGGCAUCUACUCCCAGUGGCUUCACUUCUCUGCUAGAGCAUUUUAACUUUGUGUUUUUGUUUUGAUAACAGUCAUAAACUGAUAUCAACACAUUGUGAGUCAUCUGAAUGAUAAUUUCAUAACAGGGUCAUCCCAUGAAACUUCAGCACCUGUGUUUUUAUUUGCAUCUGCCCCUAAAUCUUUGUGUCUGGCUAAUGAUUGAUUCAUAAAUGAUAUGUUUCCACCAAGAUUGGGGUGGGUGACAUCAUUUUUUGCUAUGUCUAAUAGGGUGGAAAGAGAAUUGACCUGUCUUGCUGCCCCAAGUAAGGAAAACACUCCUAGCUCAUAAGAACCUUGGCCAUAGUCUCAGUGCCAUUAUCACACUGCAGUGACCAAUUAAAUUCCUUGUAGCAAAACUUCUUCUGCCGCAUUCCAUGAAUAUUGUUACAUUGUGUUGGUUUUAUAACUUUACUUGAAUUUUUCUUAUACAUUUAUUUAAGUUUUGUAGUUGCCUAGGAGUUAACAAGCCUAAGGGGUUUAUUCCUUAUUGUGUUUGUACACAAAAUUUGAAAACAUAAUAAAAGAAUUUGAGUCAGUACUGGGAGUAGGAGUAAAUUUUUGGAGACUGCUUAGGUUUAAGAAAUGAAGGUCGGGUGUGUAGCAGAGCCUGCCAGGCCUGGGUGAGUG